GAAAAGAAACCAACAGGGAUUGCCCUAGUAACGGCGAGUGAAGCGGCAACAGCUCAAAUUUGAAAUCUGGCUCUUUCAGAGUCCGAGUUGUAAUUUGCAGAGGGCGCUUUGGCUUUGGCAGCGGUCCAAGUUCCUUGGAACAGGACGUCACAGAGGGUGAGAAUCCCGUACGUGGUCGCUAGCUAUUGCCGUGUAAAGCCCCUUCGACGAGUCGAGUUGUUUGGGAAUGCAGCUCUAAAUGGGAGGUAAAUUUCUUCUAAAGCUAAAUAUUGGCCAGAGACCGAUAGCGCACAAGUAGAGUGAUCGAAAGAUGAAAAGCACUUUGGAAAGAGAGUCAAACAGCACGUGAAAUUGUUGAAAGGGAAGCGCUUGCAGCCAGACUUGCUUGCAGUUGCUCAUCCGGGCUUUUGCCCGGUGCACUCUUCUGCAGGCAGGCCAGCAUCAGUUUGGGCGGUGGGAUAAAGGUCUCUGACACGUUCCUUCCUUCGGGUUGGCCAUAUAGGGGAGACGUCAUACCACCAGCCUGGACUGAGGUCCGCGCAUCUGCUAGGAUGCUGGCGUAAUGGCUGUAA
rnacentral:rRNA from 1 species